rnacentral:rRNA from 1 species
CACGUAGGGUCCGAGCGUUGUCCGGAAUUACUGGGCGUAAAGAGCUCGUAGGUGGUUUGUCGCGUUGUUCGUGAAAACUCACAGCUCAACUGUGGGCGUGCGGGCGAUACGGGCAGACUUGAGUACUGCAGGGGAGACUGGAAUUCCUGGUGUAGCGGUGGAAUGCGCAGAUAUCAGGAGGAACACCGGUGGCGAAGGCGGGUCUCUGGGCAGUAACUGACGCUGAGGAGCGAAAGCGUGGGGAGCGAACAGG